rnacentral:rRNA from 1 species
AUUGAACGCUGGCGGCAGGCCUAACACAUGCAAGUCGAACGAGCGGCGGACGGGUGAGUAAUGUCUGGGGAACUGCCCGAUAGAGGGGGAUAACUACUGGAAACGGUGGCUAAUACCGCAUACCAUCGGAUGUACCCAGAUGGGAUUAGCUAGUAGGUGGGGUAAAGGCUCACCUAGGCGACGAUCUCUAGCUGGUCUGAGAGGAUGACCAGCCACACUGGAACUGAGACACGGUCCAGACUCCUACGGGAGGCAGCAGUGGGGAAUAUUGCACAAUGGGCGCAAGCCUGAUACAGCCAUGCCGCGUGUAUGAAGAAGGCCUUAGGGUUGUAAAGUACUUUCAGCGGGGAGGCGUUACCCGCAGAAGAAGCACCGGCUAACUCCGUGCCAGCAGCCGCGGUAAUUC